rnacentral:rRNA from 1 species
UACGUAGGGCGCAAGCGUUGUCCGGAAUCAUUGGGCGUAAAGCGCGUGUAGGCGGCCCGGUAAGUCCGCUGUGAAAGUCGGGGGCUCAACCCUCGGAUGCCGGUGGAUACUGUCGGGCUAGAGUGCGGAAGAGGCGAGUGGAAUUCCUGGUGUAGCGGUGAAAUGCGUAGAUAUCGAGAGGAACACCUGCGGCGAAGGCGGGUAGCUGGGCCGACACUGACGCUGAUGCGCGAAAGCCAGGGGAGCGAACGGG